UAGUCCACGCCGUAAACGAUGGUCACUAGCUGUUCGAACUUCGGUUUGAGUGGCUAAGCGAAAGUGAUAAGUGACCCACCUGGGGAGUACGUUCGCAAGAAUGAAACUCAAAGGAAUUGACGGGGGCCCGCACAAGCGGUGGAGCAUGUGGUUUAAUUCGAUGAUACGCGAGGAACCUUACCAGGGCUUAAAUGUAGAUUGCAUUAGUUAGAGAUAGCUAUUUCUUCGGACUAUCUACAAGGUGCUGCAUGGUUGUCGUCAGCUCGUGCCGUGAGGUGUCAGGUUAAGUCCUAUAACGAGCGCAACCCCUGUUGUUAGUUGCCAGCAUGUAAAGAUGGGAACUCUAACAAGACUGCCGGUGCAAACCGUGAGGAAGGUGGGGAUGACGUCAAAUCAUCAUGGCCUUUAUGCCCAGGGGCGACACACGUCCUACAAUGCACUAUACAAAGCG
rnacentral:rRNA from 1 species